UUAUCCGAAAAAAUUUACAUUGUUGAUGUGGUGAGCCCCCCUGUGCGGCGGGGCAUUACUGGUUCUCCUCGGAAGUAGAUGCAUGCGGAACGCUGUCCAGUCAGUGUUUCACCGGGAGGCACCCGGCACCACGCACAAUAAAAAUGAGCAUACCCUGAUUUAGACCUGUUCGUCCGAGCAGGUCUUUUUUUAUC
rnacentral:sRNA from 1 species